rnacentral:lncRNA from 1 species
AAAUGAACGAUUAAAAUAAGAGUAAUUAAGAGAUAAGCAUACAUUUAAUUUUAUGAUAAGAACUACACCUAUGAAAUCAACGUGGCCCCUUUGUUCCUCACAAAAUGAAAGUGAAAACGUGGAUCUAAUAUUUACCAUGGAGAGGUAGAAGCAUGAACCUAUAAAUAGAAGAUUAACCUUUUAUCAAACCCACACAACUAUCACUCUCAAAAGAAGGCAGGAAUGUUAAGGUCCGAAACUCUUCCUUCUUCUUAAAUUCUUUUAUUUUGUUUGUUUGUCCUUUUAAAAAAAAUUAGUCUUUUUCAUUCACUUUAAAACUUUCUAUUACUUUAAUUUCAAUAACUUUCAAGUUUAGGUUCUUUUGUUCCUUCUUUCUAAAACUUCUAAAACAUUCAUGUCACUUAUUC